rnacentral:rRNA from 1 species
ACGGGAGGCAGCAGUGAGGAAUAUUGGUCAAUGGGCGGAAGCCUGAACCAGCCAAGUAGCGUGAAGGAUGACGGCCCUACGGGUUGUAAACUUCUUUUGCCGGGGGAUAAAAAACGGGACGCGUCCCGUCUUGCAGGUACCCGUGCGAAUAAGGACCGGCUAAUUCCGUGCCAGCAGCCGCGGUAAUACGGAAGGUCCGAGCGUUAUCCGGAUUUAUUGGGUUUAAAGGGUGCGCAGGCGGUGGAUCAAGUCAGUGGUGAAAUGGUGCGGCUCAACCGUAGCAUUGCCGUUGAAACUGGUUCACUUGAGUGCGGACGAGGCAGGCGGAAUGUGUUGUGUAGCGGUGAAAUGCAUAGAUAUGACACAGAACACCGAUUGCGAAGGCAGCCUGCCAGGCCGCAACUGACGCUGAGGCACGAAAGUGCGGGGAUCGAACAGGAUUAGAUACCCUGGUA